CAUUAAAAGAGAGACUGAGAGAUAAGUUUUAAUACAAGGAAAUAGCCUUCUAAAUUCAAAUAAAAAUCAUGUUUUCAAUACAUAUAAAAUUUCAACAUAUUCUAGUCAUAUUUUAAAUCAUUCAGAAUAAUAUAUUUUAAAUUUCAGAUCAAAGAAUAUCAAAAAAGGAUUUUAGAUAACAUAUUCUAGUCUAACAAGAUUUUAAUCCAGACAAGAUUAAAGAUAA
rnacentral:lncRNA from 1 species